rnacentral:rRNA from 1 species
GCUUGUCUCAAAGAUUAAGCCAUGCAUGUCUAAGUAUAAACUGCUUAUACUGUGAAACUGCGAAUGGCUCAUUAAAUCAGUCAUAAUUUAUUUGAUGGUACCUACUACUCGGAUAACCGUAGUAAUUCUAGAGCUAAUACGUGCGCACAACCCGACUUCUGGAAGGGUCGUAUUUAUUAGAUAAAAGGCCAGCCGGGCUCUGCCCGACCUGCGGUGAAUCAUGAUAACUUCACGAAUCGUAUGGCCCUGUGCCGACGAUGUUUCAUUCAAAUUUCUGCCCUAUCAACUUUCGAUGGUAAGGUAUUGGCUUACCAUGGUUACAACGGGUAACGGAGAAUUAGGGUUCGAUUCCGGAGAGGGAGCCUGAGAAACGGCUACCACUUCCAAGGAAGGCAGCAGG